rnacentral:sRNA from 1 species
UAAUUCAAAUAAUAUAAGUUUAUUCUUCCACUCAGAAACACGGCCACUUUCAGUUUGGAUUGGUAACAUGACCAUCUCUUUAAGUAUUGUUGAUAACAUGACAGCAGUUCUAGAGUCACUGUAUCAAACCUUAAGUAUAAACCUGCAGACAAAUCUUGAUGGAACUUACCUGUAUUCUACUGAACCUGUGAUUCUCACACUAGGAGCAACUGGGAUCCCGAUGGCUGCUGACACCACACUGGACGAUGUCCUACCAAUGGCC